UAAUUUAAAAUAUUUAAUUAAUUUUUUAUUGGUCACUUUAUUAAUAGAAAUAACUUUAAUUUUGUGUUAGUAUUUUAUAAAAAUUAUUAUUAAUUAUUGAUAGUUUAUUUUACUGUGAAGGUUUAUAUAUUUAAAAAUUUAUAAGUAGAAAUUAUUUUUGUACCUUUUGCAUCAGGGUUUAUUAAUUUAGGUUAAUUAAUUAUUAGUUUUCCCGAAAUUAUAAGGGAUAUCUCAAUAUGACUUUUGUUGUUUUAAAACUAUGGAUAAUGUUGAGAUAGGGAAUAUAUUUUAUUCAAUUAUAAAUAUCUGGUUUCUUGAGAAUUGAAUUUAAUUCAGAAUUAUUUUUUUUAGAUUAAAAUUUUAUUUUUAGGAAUAUAAUUUAAUAUUAUGGGGGAUAAGCUCUGUAAUGAUUUUAUAGGCACUAUGAGUAUAUUUAAGUUUUAUAGGUUUAAUAAUGUCCAUUAAUUUAUUUUGUUAUAAUGAUGUUUAAAUUUAUUUUUAUUUUAGGUUAGCCUUAAUUUUUUAUCAGGAUUUUUAAUUUAAUAUUUUAUUUAAGGUAAUAAUGAUAGAAUUAGUAAUUUUUAUAUUUUAUAUACAGUAAUUUGGCAAAUUUUAUUUCCACCUGUUUAUCAAAAACAUGUCCUAUUGAGAAUAUAAUAUUAGGUCAGGCCUGCUCAAUGAUUAUAUUAAAUAGCCGCAGUAUUUUGACUGUGCAAAGGUAGCAUAAUCAUUUGUCUCUUAAUUGGGGGCUUGUAUGAAAGGUUUAAUGAGAAAUAUACUUUCUUUAUAUAAGGGAAUGAAUUUAACAUUUAGGUUAAAAGGCUUAAAUGCUUUUAUGGGACGAGAAGACCCUAUAGAAAUUUACUGUUUUUAUCAAAUUAAUUUUAAUUAAUUUAUAAAUUAACUUGAUAGGAAUAGUUUUGUUGGGGCGACAUGAAGAUUUUAUUAACUCUUAAAAUUAAAAUUUUAUUGAUGAGUAUUUAUAUUGAUCCUUUAUUAAGGAUUUAAAGAAUAAUUUACCUUAGGGAUAACAGCGUAAUUUUUUCGGAGAGUUCCUAUUGAUGAAAGAGAUUGCGACCUCGAUGUUGGAUUAAAAUAAGUUUUGAGUGCAGAAGCUUAAUUACUAGGUCUGUUCGACCUUUAAUUUUUUACAUGAUCUGAGUUCAGACCGGCGUGAGCCAGGUUGGUUUCUAUCUAUAAUUAUUUAUAUACAUUUUAGUACGAAAGGACCAAGUGUAACAAUGAAUUAUUGUGUUUGUGUGAUUUACAUUAACU
rnacentral:rRNA from 1 species